rnacentral:rRNA from 1 species
GACGAACGCUGGCGGCGUGCUUAACACAUGCCAGUCGAACGGAAAGGCCCUGCUUUUGUGGGGUGCUCGAGUGGCGAACGGGUGAGUAACACGUGAGUAACCUGCCCUUGACUUUGGGAUAACUUCAGGAAACUGGGGCUAAUACCGGAUAGGAGCUCCUGCUGCAUGGUGGGGGUUGGAAAGUUUCGGCGGUUGGUGGUGUACUCGCGGCUUAUCAGCUUGUUGGUGGGGUAGUGGCUUGCCAAGGCUUAGACGGGUCGCCGUCCUGAUAGGGUGAACGGGAACAAUAGGACUGAGAAAGGGCCCAGUAGACGACAGGGCGGAAUGGGGGCGAACAUGUUGCAAAGGGACGGAGCCCGUGACAACGAACCCAGGGGCGGGAAGACCGCCUUUGGGUUAGAAACCGAUUUAGGCUAUGACGAAGCGGGAGUGACGGUAACGGGAAAAGAAGCACCGGCUAACUACGUG